rnacentral:lncRNA from 1 species
AAUGAGUACUCAUAAAUUAAAAAUGUGAACCUCAAUGUUUUUUUAAAAUUUUAUAUGAUUUGGAAAAUUGGAGAUAGGAUAAUGUUAGUAUAUUUAUUCAAUAAAUAUGACUGUCUUCUAAUCCACAAAUAUUUAACUUUAUGAAAUUACUGCUUAAUGACAAAGAUUUAAAACUGGUUAUUAAAUAUGGAGGAGGAAGAGGAUGAAGUUAUUUUGACUGAUGAUUUCAGAGAUUUUAGCCCAUAGUCACUUGGACCCUUUACUUCUAGGUCUGUGAUGAGGCAGAAACAUCAUGGCAGAAGGCUGGAGUGAGGAAAUCUCACCUUGUGGCAACUAGAAAGCAAAGAAAGAAGGAAAAGACUAAGGGAAAGGAGCCAGGAAUAAGAUACAGCCCCCAAGGCUAUGCCCUAUUACCCACUCCCUUCAGGGUGGCAAAUGAAAACAAUAUAUUCAAAGGAUGAAGACAAGGUCUCCAGAACCAGGAGGAAGAGAGGACUUCCCACUGUGAGAGUGGCCAAUACCCAGGACUCUACCUAUCAUCAAGCCUAGAGACCAGCAGAGAAUUCAGGCAAAAAAACCCCAGGAGCUCUUGAAGGAAUGUCUCCAACAAAAAAAAAGAAAAAGAAAAAGAAAAAGGUGACUCAGUUCAUUUAACCCUGUUUGAAGGAACUUUCAAAUUUAAUCAAAGGGUUUAGUAAUAAUAGACCCAAUGGGAUUGGCAGACCCUAAGAGUUUCCAUUUUCCACUAGUGUAUAACAAACCCCAGUACUGAUGGGUUUACGAUAAUAUUUCCUUGUUGUGACAGGCUCUGUGAGGUGACAGGACUCCACUGUGUUUUCCUGAGGACCUUUCCUGUAAAUAGUCAGAUCCUGGCAGAAGUUGAAACCAUCCAAAAGUUUGGUGGCUGGAUAUACAAGAUGACUUUUUAUUCACAAAUCUCCAACUGGGGCAGAGGUGGGGAGGAGGGAAUCUGUCACAGCAAGAGAAUGACCAGGCAUUGCCAUGCUGACUGGGGCUUCCUCAUUACAUGGCUACCAGUGCCUCUAGAGUCUUUCUGUCUACACAGCCUCUAGAGUCUAGAUGUUGACUUCUUUGGGUAGCCAUAAUUCAGCCAUAGCACCAGUCUCCCUCAGAGCAAGAUAUCUAGGCUGAAGUUGCAAAGCUUCUUAUGACCUAGCCUCAAAAUCCGGAAAUGUCACUUUUGCUCCAUUCUUUGGUCAAAGCCUAGCCCUGCUUCAAGAGGAGAGAACUACAAAGGCAAGAAAGCUGACAGUGUAUUGGGAACCAUAGUUCUCAACAAGCUCUAACAUUAAUCAAAUAAAUAAUACAAUUACCAAAGGGGAAGGUGACAUUGAAUGCAACAUGAAUGUAAAAAAAGUUGUGUAGAUGAGACCAAUAUUUACAUGUAAUUACAC